GAUGAACGCUGGCGGCGUGCCUAAUACAUGCAAGUCGAGCGAACAGAUAAGGAGCUUGCUCCUUUGACGUUAGCGGCGGACGGGUGAGUAACACGUGGGUAACCUACCUAUAAGACUGGGAUAACUUCGGGAAACCGGAGCUAAUACCGGAUAACAUUUGGAACCGCAUGGUUCUAAAGUGAAAGAUGGUUUUGCUAUCACUUAUAGAUGGACCCGCGCCGUAUUAGCUAGUUGGUAAGGUAACGGCUUACCAAGGCGACGAUACGUAGCCGACCUGAGAGGGUGAUCGGCCACACUGGAACUGAGACACGGUCCAGACUCCUACGGGAGGCAGCAGUAGGGAAUCUUCCGCAAUGGGCGAAAGCCAGACGGAGCAACGCCGCGUGAGUGAUGAAGGGUUUCGGCUCGUAAAACUCUGUUAUUAGGGAAGAACAAAUGUGUAAGUAACUGUGCACGUCUUGACGGUACCUAAUCAGAAAGCCACGGCUAACUACGUG
rnacentral:rRNA from 1 species